AACGACGCUGGCGGCGUGUCUUAAGCAUGCAAGUCGAGCGGCAAGGAAGUGCUUGCACUUCCCUAGAGCGGCGGACUGGUGAGUAACGCGUGGGUGAUCUACCUCGGGGUUGGGGAUAGCCAUUAGAAAUAGUGGGUAAUACCGAAUACGCUUCCAGGGCUACGGCCGUGGAAGGAAAGGCGCUACGGCGCCGACCUGAGAUGAGCCCGCGUCCCAUUAGCUAGUUGGUGAGGUAACGGCCCACCAAGGCGAUGAUGGGUAGGCGGCCUGAGAGGGUGUACGCCCACAUUGGGACUGAGAUACGGCCCAAACUCCUACGGGAGGCAGCAGCUAAGAAUAUUCCGCAAUGGACGAAAGUCUGACGGAGCGACGCCGCGUGGAUGAUGAAGGCCGGAAGGUUGUAAAAUCCUUUUGUCGGGGAAGAAUAAGCGUGGGAGGGAAUGCCCGCGUGAUGACAUGAACCGGCGAAUAAGCCCCGGCUAACUACGUG
rnacentral:rRNA from 1 species